rnacentral:rRNA from 1 species
GACAGAGGGUGCAAACGUUGUUCGGAAUUACUGGGCGUAAAGCGUGUGUAGGCGGUCUCAUAAGUCGGGUGUGAAAGCCCCGGGCUCAACCCGGGAAGUGCACUCGAAACUGCGAGGCUAGAGUACUGGAGAGGUUGGUGGAAUUCUCGGUGUAGAGGUGAAAUUCGUAGAUAUCGAGAGGAACACCGGUGGCGAAGGCGGCCAACUGGACAGAUACUGACGCUGAGACAGAAAGCGUGGGGAGCAAACAGG